rnacentral:rRNA from 1 species
GACGAACGCUGGCGGCGUGCCUAACACAUGCAAGUCGAACGAUGACGUCGGAGCUUGUUCGGCCUGAUUAGGGGCGAAGGGGUGAGUAACCCGUGAGCAACCUGCCCUUCACUGUGGGAUGACCUCAGGCAAUCGGGGCUAAUCCCGGAUAUGAGCUCCCGUCGCUUGGCGGGCGUUGGAUCGUUUUGCGGUGUGGGAUGGGAUCGCGGUCUAUCGGUUUGUUUGGGUGGUAGUGGCAAACCAAGGCGAUGACGGGCAGCGGGCCUGGGAGGGCGGCCGGCCACGCUGCGACUGAGACACGGCCCAGACUCGAAUGGGAGGCAACGGUGGAGAAUAUUGCACAAGGGGAGAGAGCCUGAUGCGACGACGCCGCGUGGGGGAAGACGGGCUUCGGGUAGUGAACCACAGUCAGCUUAGACGAAGCGAUAGUGACGGUACCGGCAGAAGAAGCGCCGGCUAACUACGUG